UCCUACGGGAGGCAGCAGUGGGGAAUCUUGCACAAUGGAGGAAACUCUGAUGCAGCGAUGCCGCGUGAGUGAAGAAGGCCCUUGGGUUGUAAAGCUCUUUUGUCGGGAAAGAUAAUGACUGUACCCGAAGAAUAAGGUCCGGCUAACUUCGUGCCAGCAGCCGCGGUAAUACGAAGGGACCUAGCGUAGUUCGGAAUUACUGGGCUUAAAGAGUUCGUAGGUGGUUGAAAAAGUUGGUGGUGAAAUCCCAGAGCUUAACUCUGGAACUGCCAUCAAAACUUUUCAGCUAGAGUAUGAUAGAGGAAAGCAGAAUUUCUAGUGUAGAGGUGAAAUUCGUAGAUAUUAGAAAGAAUACCAAUUGCGAAGGCAGCUUUCUGGAUCAUUACUGACACUGAGGAACGAAAGCAUGGGUAGCGAAGAGGAUUAGAUACCCUCGUAGUCCAUGCCGUAAACGAUGUGUGUUAGACGUUGGAAAUUUAUUUUCAGUGUCGCAGCGAAAGCGAUAAACACACCGCCUGGGGAGUACGACCGCAAGGUUAAAACUCAAAUGAAUUGACGGGGACCCGCACAAGUAGUGGAGCAUGUGGUUUAAUUCGAAGAUACGCGCAGAACCUUACCAACACUUGACAUGUUCGUCGCGACUUUAGAGAUUAAAGUUUUCGGUUCGGCCGGACGAAACACAGGUGCUGCAUGCUGUCGUCAGCUCGUGUCGUGGAGAAUUGUUGGGUUAAGUCCCGCCACCGAGGCGCAACCCCUCACU
rnacentral:rRNA from 1 species